UGCAUCGCUAACAUCCCUAACUAACCUUUUCCAUACUCCCGUCACAGACUGCAGAGUUGCCUACAGCAGUAACGGCUGGUACACAAGAUGACGACACACAAAUUGCUUGCCGGAUUCAUGUAGAUGUAUUUUCCUCGUCACAUCUUGACUAAUGAAACACUGCACACAAACCUCUCCCAGAGCUCCCUCUGGCUUUAAAACCUCAUAGAGAAACUGUAAAGCGAUGGCCAUAAAUGGUAAGACGAAGAAGAAUAUAAUGAUAAUAAAAUCCAUCGUAUUGCUUUCUUAUACCCGACAUGAGAAAAAGCAACAUCUUAAAAUCAAGCAUUGUAUGUGUUGUUCUUACUUUUCCUCCUGGUGGUUGUCCUCCCCCUCGCUCAGCUCUUCAUCAUCCACCAAGUGUCCGAACGGCUCUGAGGAGAUGGACACCAUAUUGGAGAGGAUGAGGCGGCUGUCACUGCUGGCCGUCAACACCAGCUGGUCAUGGCUGUGGUUGUAGCGCACGCUCCACACCCUGGUGCAAAUGACACAGACAUUCACUUCAAACUGAAGGAAUCAGCCUGUGAGUCAAACAGUGAAGGUCAGGAGCAGAGGUCACUGAUGCUUUACUAAGUCCUGCUAAGCUGAUCCCAAUCACACCACUCAGGAGCGACUCAAAGUUCAGUGCCCUGCCCAAGGACACUUCAACAUGCAGGCUGCAGGAUCUGGUAUCGAACCACCAACCAAUCGAUGGAGAGAAAACCUGACUCCACUGCUGAGCCGCAGCUGCACACAUCAAUUCAGCGACGGCGGCUUGUUGAGCCAACCUGCUUUCCUCCAUGAGUGUGUAAUUGAGUGAACAGGUGUAGUGGUUCCAUGGCUCUGAAGCCGUUUUCAUCAGCCUGCCUUUGAAGACUCCUGAUGUUGUUUUCCGUACAAAAGAAGGGAGCAGAAAAUCAACUGGGGGUCAGAGAAUGGGAGCCCAUUUGAAUAAACUUGUAAU